CCUACGGGCGGCAGCAGUGGGGAAUAUUGGGCAAUGGGCGCAAGCCUGACCCAGCAACGCCGCGUGAAGGAAGAAGGCUUUCGGGUUGUAAACUUCUUUUCUCAGGGACGAAGAAAGCGACGGUAUCUGAGGAAUAAGCCACGGGUAACUACGGGCCAGCAGCCGCGGUAAUACGUAGGUGGCAAGCGUUAUACGGAUUUAUUGGGGGUAAAGGGCGUGUAGGCGGGAGGGCAAGGCAGAGGUGAAAACUCAGGGCUCAACCCUGAGCCUGCCUUUGAAACUGUGUUUCUUGAGUGCUGGAGAGGCAUGCGGAAUUCCGGGGGUAGCGGUGAAAUGCGUAGAUAUACGGAGGAACACCAGUGGCGAAGGCGGAUUGCUGG
rnacentral:rRNA from 1 species